rnacentral:lncRNA from 1 species
AGAUGCCCUCUUAGGGUUUGAAAUGUGGGGGAAAAAAAAAGAGAAUCACUGCUUAUCUUAGUCUGUUCGGGUAGCUGUAACAAAAUACCAUACCUGAGUGACUUACAAGUAAUAGAAAUGUUAUUUCUCACAUUUCUGGAGUCUGGGAAGCCCAAGAUCAAGGUGCUAGCAGAUUUGGUGUCUGGUAUCUACUGACCUGGUUAUCGCUUCUUCCUUUAAGGAGUAUUAGAACACUGCUGGGGAUGGGCUGACAAACAUACCAGGGAUUUUACUUUGUGUCAGCCAAGAGGCUUUCCUUACCUCCUUGUCUUCAGUACUCUUGUGCACAAGCAUGCUUCUCAGAGAAGGUGGAUUCUACCUUGGAAGGAAAUGAGUCGUUUCCUCCCAUCAGGACAACUGCCACAGCAUGGUGUCAACUCACUCUUGCCUUUCGUAAAUUGAGUUUGUCAGUGCUCAGCGACACAGCUGAGUGAAAUGUUGUGUGAUGCGGGCUGUCUCCUGGGAGAGAGAAACUGGCAUAAACCACAUCCUAAUGGGAUCCAGAAACAAAGAAGCGUGAAUGAAGUGUUAAUUGCAUUCAUAAAGACAUUAACAAAGGAAUUAAAAUGGCAGAAGCUUCAGUCCCCCACUCAAGAUUCACAGAAAAAUAUGUUAUCCAAAGAAUGUUUCAACAAUAAUCAUCAAAGUUUAUUGCUUGCCCAUUGGGGAAAUAACUCUUGAUACAUAUUAACUUUUCAAAGAACAUUUUGGGUCCAUUAUUUUGAGUAUAUUAACUAACAGACAGUUUAUUCCACCCUACCUCCAGUUCUUUGCUUGCUUUUGUAUGAUUUAAGUUUCAAAAAAAUCCAGAGGCAUUUUCAGUGCUGCUUCAUUAACCAUAAGGAUGUCUGUUAACAGUUUGAACCUAAUCAAUCCUACAGUUCUUAUUAGAGCAAAAUGCUCAUUAUCUGGGAGAAUUUUUGCUUUUUGAAAUAAAAUUACAAGACUGGGGGUUUAUUUUACAGUCCCUCUUGAAUAUUCCUGAGAUGAUCUGCAAUGUGGGCAACCCGGGGCUCCCUCCCCAGCCCUGUGGCAGGGCCCCCCAGCUGCUGACAGCGGGGCUAAGCUGGCAAAAGGUCAGGAGGCUGCAUUUCACUGAAGAUGGAUCGCACAGAUGAAUAUUGCGCUUGCUUAAUGAAGUCAAGGCCACGGAUUUGGGGCCUUUUAUGGUUCUUCUUGUUUCACUCAAUUUCACCUUCAUAGACCACGCCACUAAUCCCAGCCAAUCAUUUUGUAGAUAUGUGCAACUGGUGACUAAGGGACUAGAUAAAAGUAAAUGAAUCUAAAAAACAGUGACCAGAAAUUCAGAAAUCUCUGUGCCUAUAACAAACUCAGAAUUAAAAAAAAAAAGCAUGCAAAAAAAAAAAAAAAA